rnacentral:rRNA from 1 species
GUGUCAGCCGCCGCGGUAAGACGUAGGGCGCAAGCGUUGUCCGGAUUUAUUGGGCGUAAAGGGCUCGUAGGCGGCCUGUCGCGUCGAUCGUGAAAACUGGGGGCUUAACUUCCAGCUUGCGGUCGAUACGGGCAGGCUUGAGGUAGGUAGGGGAGAACGGAAUUCCACGUGUAGCGGUGAAAUGCGCAGAUAUGUGGAGGAACACCGGUGGCGAAGGCGGUUCUCUGGGCCUAUCCUGACGCUGAUGAGCGAAAGCGUGGGGAGCGAACAGGAUUAGAAACCCUCGUAGUCC